CGCGUAGGCGGCUUGGCAAGUCAGAUGUGAAAUCCCCGAGCUUAACUUGGGAAUUGCAUCUGAAACUGUUGAGCUUGAGUCCUGGAGGGGAUAGUGGAAUUCCCAGUGUAGCGGUGAAAUGCGUAGAUAUUGGGAGGAACACCUGUGGCGAAGGCGGCUAUCUGGACAGUGACUGACGCUGAGGCGCGAAAGCUAGGGGAGCGAACG
rnacentral:rRNA from 1 species